UAGGGAAUCUUCCACAAUGGACGCAAGUCUGAUGGAGCAACGCCGCGUGAGUGAAGAAGGUUUUCGGAUCGUAAAGCUCUGUUGUUGGUGAAGAAGGAUAGAGGUAGUAACUGGCCUUUAUUUGACGGUAAUCAACCAGAAAGUCACGGCUAACUACGUGCCAGCAGCCGCGGUAAUACGUAGGUGGCAAGCGUUGUCCGGAUUUAUUGGGCGUAAAGCGAGCGCAGGCGGAAGAAUAAGUCUGAUGUGAAAGCCCUCGGCUUAACCGAGGAACUGCAUCGGAAACUGUUUUUCUUGAGUGCAGAAGAGGAGAGUGGAACUCCAUGUGUAGCGGUGGAAUGCGUAGAUAUAUGGAAGAACGCCAGUGGCGAAGGCGACUCUCUGGUCUGCAACUGACGCUGAGGCUCGAAAGCAUGGGUAGCGAACAGG
rnacentral:rRNA from 2 species